GACGAACGCUGGCGGCAGGCCUAACACAUGCAAGUCGAGCGAGGACUUCGGUUCUAGCGGCGGACGGGUGAGUAACGCGUGGGAAUGUGCCCUUCUCUACGGAAUAGCCCUGGGAAACUGGGAGUAAUACCGUAUACGCCCUAUUGGGGAAAGAUUUAUCGGGGAAGGAUCAGCCCGCGUUGGAUUAGGUAGUUGGUGGGGUAAUGGCCUACCAAGCCGACGAUCCAUAGCUGGUUUGAGAGGAUGAUCAGCCACACUGGGACUGAGACACGGCCCAGACUCCUACGGGAGGCAGCAGUGGGGAAUCUUAGACAAUGGGGGCAACCCUGAUCUAGCCAUGCCGCGUGAGUGAUGAAGGCCGUAGGGUUGUAAAGCUCUUUCAGCUGGGAAGAUAAUGACGGUACCAGCAGAAGAAGCCCCGGCUAACUCCGUG
rnacentral:rRNA from 1 species